GACGAACGCUGGCGGCGUGCUUAACACAUGCAAGUCGAGCGGUAAGGCCCUUUCGGGGGUACGACGAGCGGCGAACGGGUGAGUAACACGUGGGUGACCUGCCCUCAGCUCUGGGAUAAGCCUGGGAAACCGGGUCUAAUACUGGAUAUGACUCCAUGACGCAUGUUGUGGGGUGGAAAGCCUUGCGCGGCUGAGGAUGGGCCCGCGGCCUAUCAGCUUGUUGGUGGGGUGANGGCCUACCAAGGCGACGACGGGUAGCCGGCCUGAGAGGCGACCGGCCACACUGGGACUGAGACACGGCCCAGACUCCUACGGGAGGCAGCAGUGGGGAAUCUUGCGCAAUGGGCGAAAGCCUGACGCAGCGACG
rnacentral:rRNA from 1 species